rnacentral:rRNA from 1 species
GUGUUUUUCAAAAACAUUUCUGAGGGGAAAAUGUUUUUGGUUUACCUGCUCAUGCUUAGGUAAUAGCUGCAGUAUUUUGACUGUACAAAGGUAGCAUAAUCAUUAGUCUUUUGAUUGGAGGCUUGUAUGAAUGGUUGAACAGGAUAUUAUCUUUUUUAACUAUAUGAUAUUUUAAUUUAUAGUUUAUGUAAAAAUGCAUAGUUAUUUAAAGGGGACGAUAAGACCCUAUAGAAUUUAAAAAUGAUUAUGGAAAAUUUUUAUUUUUUUGUUGGGGUGACAGUAAAUAAACUUUUACAUAAUUUUCAUUGAUGAAUGAUUAUAUGAUCCUGAUGUUUUAGAUAAGUAAAUAAAAUUACCUUAGGGAUAACAGCAUAAUUUUUUUUAAAAGAUCUUAUUAAUAAAAAGGAUUAUGACCUCGAUGUUGAAUUAAAAUAAAAUUUUGGUGUAGAAGCUUAAUUUUUUAGUCUGUUCGACUUUAAAUUUUACAUGAUCUAG